GGGGCCCACCCUUCCUCGUGGUGGUGUUUCCUGGGUCACUCUGUCUUGUCCUGAGGGCCAUGCUGUGCCGUGGCUGCGGGACACACCUUUCCUGUGUGGGCACCGUGGGUGGGCGGGUCUGACCCUGUACCCAGUGCCUCCCGCCACUGAGCACCGUGAGGGACAGGCCCCCUCACACUGCCGACACCUGUGCGUCCACGAGGGCAUCUGUCAGCGCUGAAUUCCUUGUUGAGCAAGUGGAUAAUAAGACUUCUCCACUCUGGCUUCUGCCCACACUGCUCUGCCAAAAGUGCUCUCUCCAAGGUAACCAGUAACCUCUAUGUCGUCCUUUCUGGGGAGCAUUUCUGAGUCCUCAUCUUCCUGGAAUGCUCCUUGGAGGACCAUCUGAGAAUCCUUCUACUGCACACGGAAGAAAAACCAACUCAAACUGUGGCAAACAAAGCAGUCUGCCUUUCCACAGAAAGUCAAAAUAGAAAUUCUGACUUUUUCAGCUACACCCAGUUCUUUCUACAAAGAGUAAACAUGAAGAAACUACAGAAGUAAAACCUGAAGUUAUGAUCCAGGCUAUAACUGAGCUGUAUAAUAAAUAAUGAACCUCAGAUUCAAUGAAAUAUAACAGACCUCAUCAUCCAAUACAAAAGCUGUAUUACUGAACACUACUGAAGAAAAGUAAGACCAUUUACUUGUUAGUUUUCCCAGUCUGUGCAAGGCAAAGCCUCCUCUUCAUCCUCUGACUCAGGGGAUGCUUCUUUGAUUCUUCUAAGAGCUUCAUGGAUGCUCCGUGUUAGAGGGUCCGUGUCGGGCAGAAGCGUGAAGGAUUCUCUCAAGACUUCCUUCUGUACCUUCUUCAAUUUUACCCCCUUCCUUAUUUGUGCCAAGAUAUUAUUAUCAUCUUCAUCAGGAAAAGGAGGCAGAGUUCGCUGUUCAACCUUUCUCAGAUGAAAACUACCACGCUUCAAGGAAGCCAGCACCUCAUCCAUGGGUGAGCUCACUUUAGAAAAUGAAAGAGAACAACUAUGAUUGCACUUAAGAGUCAGGAACUGUGUAACCUCCAGACUUUAGGACUGUGAUAGCCCAGGAUGCUAAAAACACAUCUACAGAAGGGACCAUGAAGCAUGGACAGAACAUGCCAGAACACAGGGGAUACUAAUUAUGCUUGUUUAAAAAAAAAAAAAAAAUUCCAAGACCCAAAUUCCAUGUCAGGCAUUACUGGUAUUCCUAUCAUUUCCCAUGUGAGAGAAGUGAGCAGACUGGGGGCUGGGGGGUGAUCUUUAGUAUUAUUAUGGGUGAGACUCCUAAAGAGUUUCCAUAAUGCAAAAGUCCAAUCUAAAUUCAGACAGUGACUGGACUGCACAUUUAAUUUUAAAAAAUUAAAUUCUGAUUCA